GAUGAACGCUGGCGGCGUGCCUAAUACAUGCCAGUCGAGCGAACAGACGAGGAGCUUGCUCCUCUGACGUUAGCGGCGGAGGGGUGAGUAACACGUGGAUAACCUCCCUAUAAGACUGGGAUAACUUCGGGAAACCGGAGCUAAUCCCGGAUAAUAUAUUGAACCGCAUGGUUCAAUAGUGAAAGACGGUUUUGCUGUCACUUAUAGAUGGAUCCGCGCCGCAUUAGCUAGUUGGUAAGGUAACGGCUUACCAAGGCGACGAUGCGUAGCCGACCUGAGAGAGUGAUCGGCCACACUGGAACUGAGACACGGUCCAGACUCCUACGGGAGGCAGCAGUAGGGAAUCUUACGCAAUGGGCGAAAGCCUGACGGAGCAACGCGGCGUGAGUGAUGAAGGUCUUCGGAUCGUAAAACUCGGUUAUUAGGGAAGAACAAAUGUGUAAGUAAAUAUGCACGUCUUGACGGUACCUAAUCAGAAAGCCACGGCUAACUACGUG
rnacentral:rRNA from 1 species